CACAACACUGACGCUGAAGGCACAAGACGCACCGGGAGGUUCCCAGGGCUGCGCAGUGUCCUAGCUGCUCAGGCCUACGUCCCCAGAAGGUGAGAAAGCAGCGUCGUGCCUUUUCCGGAACAGAUCUUACGUCUGCGGACGGGAAACUUUCUGCCAUCGCUUUUCACGCUCCAAGGACAAUCAUGAGAGAAGUUGGGGCCUCCCGACAGCAAAGAGAAGGGACCACAAGCCAUCCGCCCAUUACUGACCCGGCUUGAAAAUCGUGCCCAAAACGCGCCAUCUCUCCCCGGGGAGCCUGAAUCCCACGGGGAAACUGAGACUUUACGGGACAAGAAAUACAGCCGUGGGGUGUCCCCCCCUCGCUGCAGAAACCAGCAGGCGUCUUUCAUCGACUUGACCCUGUAGAUUAGGGUUCCAAAGGCGACGACUUUCAUCCCGACGGGACCAUGAAGGGACAGACAAGGCUCUGCCAGGCCGUUUCGCAGCUGGGGAGCUCCCCUGCUCCCCUGCGUCCCCCACACUCGCCUGUUCAUCGCUGCCCCAGGAUUAUCGUUUGUGGCCCCCCAAUAUGUCAGGCAGCCAGGCGGCUUGGUGCUAAAGACUCACUCAGCCUGGAAGAGGAGGCCAAGGACCCCCCCAACCUGCGCCCCUUUUGGUGUCAGCCUGUCCCCCCACUUCCUGGAAGCCUGGGACAUCACCUGGGUUCCGGAGACACAAAGACACUUAGAAGCAGGAGCCCACAGGCUCGUUGGAAAAGCAACGACGAGAGAAGAAAUGGGGUGCUCUGUGUGACAGACGCCACCCCAGCCUAGCGGACGGCUGUCCCCAAGGCUCAUAAAACCCUUUGCAACAAUGUCCCUCCGGUUCAGCAAAGAGCCUCCGAGGAGAGAAAGGCGCCCCAGGCAGAGCGGUCCUGACAAGCAGAGUCAGCUGAGAGCGAAACCUGGGAGCAUUUAAGUAGCUGUGGGAGCUCAGGUGAUAGGACGGAUACCUGGAAGGGGGCCGGAUGAAGGGAAGGCCGGGUAUUUAGCUCAGCCCGAGCACGAGGGGUCUCCAGGGGUCUCCAGGGAGGAAGAGGCCUGUCUUACCUACGCCCCGUGGUGGCUCCUUCAGGGCUGGCCUGCAGGAAAGCACAGCCGUGCGAGCCCCAGGUGGCUCCCGGCAGCCGUGGGACCCUUCCGAGGAGACCGUCAGACCAGACCGACUGACAAGACCGCACAUCGGCCCUCCCGACACAUCCUCCCGACAAGGAAACCCGCCGACACACGUCUGAUGUUGCCGAGAAUAGAAGUUUUGGUCACUAGGGGUCAGUAGCUGCCUCCGAAAAUCCUGGGCUGGGCCUCUCAGCUCAGUCAAGACGCUGAAAGCUUGAAUUGGGCAGAAUGGGGAGAGAGGAGGCAGAAAAGUGAGGAGAACGGGCAAGUUCCUGCACCCGGGAGCCCCCUCGGUGAGGCGGGAAUUGGGGGGGGGAGCCUGUCAGACUUGAGAAGCACGCGGAGAUGAACCCCGUGACCAGACGCAGAAGUCAGGGGCCGACACCAGCAGGGCACGGUGACACCGCAGAGAUGUCUGCAGAGCAGCUGGCUACCUUCCCAGCCACCCCCGCCCCGGGACUGUUACCUGGAGGCCUGGGGACCCGGGGACACAGGACAGGACUGCGUCAAGACCUUCUCACUACACCUUCCUACGAGGCUUUCCAACCAGACUUCCUGACCAAAUUUUCCAACAAGACUUCCCUACACGUCCUUCCAAACAACGUCUCCCAACACAUCCUCCCUACAAGACCAUCUGGUAAGACCUUCCAGCAAAUCCUUCCUACAGGACCUUUGCACAAGACCUCUGUGUGGGCUCUGGCUCUGCAUCUGAGACACGGCCCGGCCAACCGAGAAUGACGGAGGUAUCGAAGGCCCCUUUCCUCUCCUUUUCAACAUCCUGCCCCAACCGGGGGCUUCCGCAGAACCGCUCACGAGCAGCUGACGAUUAUCCCAAAGCCAGAGCGGCUUCGUCUCAGCACCUGCCCUGUCGAGAUGGGGUCCUGGGAAAAAGGUGAGUGACGGUCGUUCAAGACAAACUCUGGUGAAACGUUCGACCUUCGCCAUGCUGGGAGUCACAGAUUCCACGGUGG